rnacentral:rRNA from 1 species
UACGUAGGGUGCGAGCGUUGUCCGGAAUACUGGGCGUAAAGCGCACGCAGGCGGCUGCGUAAGUCUGACGUGAAAUCUCCCGGCUUAACCGGGAGCGGUCGUUGGAAACUAUGCGGCUUGAGGCGAUGAGAGGGGUGUGGAAUUCCCGGUGUAGUGGUGGAAUGCGUAGAUAUCGGGAGGAACAUCAGUGGCGAAAGCGGCACCCUGGCAUUAGCCUGACGCUCAGGUGCGAAAGCGUGGGGAGCGAACGGG